AUGAAAUAGUGUUGAAUGCUGGAUAAUGCUUGUGUGAUUUUAUGAUCAUCUUAGCAACUAUGACAAAUGUAUCUUCUUGGUAUCUGAUAGGUUUAAAAAAAAUAAAGAGGAUUAAGCUUGGAAAUAACACAUAAAAAGAACCGUUACAUACCAAGUGUGAAUUCAUGGUGCCCUGCUGCAUGUAGAUAGUCAUUAUUUUUAAUCCCUUGAAUGAUGUCAUAAAAGAUUUAACAGAAAAACCAAUCUGAAAUAAAUCUAACAAAUAAUACUGACCUGAUUUUAUUUGUCAUGCAGGUAAUAAUUCUAGUGUCUGUGGUACUCAGAGCGUGUGUUUUCAGCCUUUAUGUUACUUUUAGUGCAAAGACCAAAUGUUAGAUGUUGUGGAAAAAACUCAAGGACUGGGACAUUUUUGAAUUCACAACAAGAAAUUAUUAUUAUUUUUUUUCGGAAUUUAAUAUUUAAACUGUUUAAGUAUCUUCCAGUUGAGUUUCCACAGGGUGGUACAGGUACUUUAACCGUUCUCACAGGGUAGACGAGUAGGUUGGUUGUAGUCGGCCUGAGUCAGAACAGCAACAGGUUGUAGUUGUAGUUUUAGGGGUGGAAUUGCAGGUAAGACUUGUGUGUUUUCUACUGGGAACAUUUCUCUUUUUUCCACAGGCUCUGGUCAUGGUAUGAUCUCUCCAAAUCCAUAUUUGGAACAAUUCCAGGUGCAGAGCCAAAAAGAGGAUAACACACCGUGUCACAACGCCCAAAUAAUCUCAAAGUGAUUUCUUGAACAUGACAAUGAGCUCACUCAAAUGACCUCCACAGUCACCAGAUCUCACUCCAACAAAGCUCCUUUGGGAUAUGGUGGAACAAGAGAUUUGGAUCAUGGAUAUGAAGCUAUU